GAUGAACGCUGGCGGCGUGCCUAAUACAUGCAAGUCGAGCGAACAGAUGAGGAGCUUGCUCCUCUGACGUUAGCGGCGGACGGGUGAGUAACACGUGGAUAACCUACCUAUAAGAAUGGGAUAACUACGGGAAACCGGAGCUACUACCGGAUAAUAUAUUGAACCGCAUGGUUCAAUAGUGAAAGACGGUUUUGCUGUCACUUAUAGAUGGAUCCGCGCCGCAUUAGCUAGUUGGUAAGGUAACGGCUUAACAAGGCAACGAUGCGUAGCCGACCUGAGAGGGUGAUCGGCCACACUGGAACUGAGAAACGGUCCAGACUCCUACGGGAGGCAGCAGUAGGGAAUCUUCCGCAAUGGGCGAAAGCCUGACGGAGCAACGCCGCGUGAGUGAUGAAGGUGUUCGGAUCGUAAAACGCUGUUAGUAGGGAAGAACAAAUGUGUAAGUAACUAUGCACGUCUUGACGGUACCUAAUCAGAAAGCCACGGCUAACUACGUG
rnacentral:rRNA from 1 species